GACGAACGCUGGCGGCGUGCUUAACACAUGCAAGUCGAACGGAAAGGCCCUGCUUUUGUGGGGUGCUCGAGUGGCGAACGGGUGAGUAACACGCGAGUAACCUGUCCCUGACUUUGGGAUAACUUCAGGAAACUGGGGCUAAUACCGGAUAGGAGCUCCUGCUGCAUGGUGGGGGUUGGAAAGUUUCGGCGGUUGGGGAUGGACUCGCGGCUUAUCAGCUUGUUGGUGGGGUAGUGGCUUACCAAGGCUUCGACGGGUAGCCGGCCUGAGAGGGUGACCGGCCACAUUGGGACUGAGAUACGGCCCAGACUCCUACGGGAGGCAGCAGUGGGGAAUAUUGCACAAUGGGCGGAAGCCUGAUGCAGCGGCGCCGCGUGCGGGAUGACGGCCUUCGGGUUGUAAACCGCUUUCGCCUGUGACGAAGCGUGAGUGACGGUAAUGGGUAAAGAAGCACCGGCUAACUACGUG
rnacentral:rRNA from 1 species